rnacentral:rRNA from 1 species
AUGAAACACUCCUACGGGAGGCAGCAGUGGGGAAUCUUGCGCAAUGGGCGAAAGCUGACGCAGCCAUGCCGCGUGGAUGAUGAAGGUCUUAGGAUUGUAAAAUCCUUUCACCGGUGAAGAUAAUGACUGUAGCCGGAGAAGAAGCCCCGGCUAACUUCGUGCCAGCAGCCGCGGUAAUACGAAGGGGGCUAGCGUUGCUCGGAAUUACUGGGCGUAAAGGGAGCGUAGGCGGACAUUUAAGUCAGGGGUGAAAUCCCAGAGCUCAACUCUGGAACUGCCUUUGAUACUGGGUGUCUUGAGUGUGAGAGAGGUAUGUGGAACUCCGAGUGUAGAGGUGAAAUUCGUAGAUAUUCGGAAGAACACCAGUGGCGAAGGCGACAUACUGGCUCAUUACUGACGCUGAGGCUCGAAAGCGUGGGGAGCAAACAGGAUUAGAAACCCGUGUAGUCCGAAGUUC